AUGAGCCCAUUCCUGGAUGUGAAAGCUGAACUUGGGCGGCAGCGGCGAUCUGCGGGGUCCACAGCAGAGCACGCGGGGAUGCGGGGCAUCUUCUGGGCGCGCCCUGCCGGGGCUGCUCUAGGAAGAGGACGGCGAGCGGGGCGCGGGGCCGAGAACUCGGCGGCAGUGCGGCCCCACUGGCGUUGCCAGGCGCGCGGUUGCCGGGUGACCCCGGGCUGUUUACCGUCCGGCCGAGAGCGCCCGAGCGCGGGGGCUCGCCGCACCCACCAUGGCCUCUCGCAGCGCAGGCACCCUCCCGACCGAGUUCAAUGCCGCCUACGUGCCCCUCGGCCUCGUGCCCGGUGUCCGAGAUUUCCACUCCCAACCUGCUCUUCUGGGGUGUACGAUUGUCUUCUCUCUCCUUCAACGAGGGCAUCGAGGGCGGAGGUAGAUUCUGAGAAGCAACCUGCACAGUAUCAGCACAUCUGUAUAGAAUGAAUGAAUGAAAUUAAUGUCUCGAGAAUUCUGCGGGCAGGGUCUCCAUGUGGGUGAAAAAAAACCUACGUGCUCUCUCCUGCAAACCCAACAGACUGCCAAAGGAGGAAAAGACCUCACAGUAUAUUUUGUAUGAAGGUUGGAUUGUUUUGAAGCAGAAUAAUCAAGACCUGUAAUAUUAAAAUCAUUUCUGCACACGGAAGUAGUGUGGUAACUAGGGGCUGGUGCUGUGGUUUUAUUCCGGCCUCUUUGCAGACAGGACCUUUCUCUGGGCCUUGGGGAGCUCAAACACUACCUCCAUUCCCAUCAGACAAAGCUGAUUCAUCAGGUCUUCCGGAAGUCAACCCAGGUGUUUUAGGAAAGGUGACUUAGGAUUUUCCUAUUAAUUCUUUCAUUCCUUCCUUGAGUGCUUGGGAUGUCCCAGGUGUUGUGUUAAGACAAACAAGUAGGGGGCUGCCUUUGAGGGGCUCCCAGUCUGGUGCAAAUACAAAAGGUUUGGUUCAAAGCCAUCUUUGCAGCCUUGGAUAAAUUCUGGGUUUUUAUCAUGAGGUUUGAUUUUAUACACUGAUAUGUUUUUUUCUUAAGACCCCCACUGUCUCCACUUGGCACCUAACCCUCCCCCACAGCUCCCCCACUCUGUCCCGGGCUGCUGGGGAGGGAGCUGCAUGUUUCAGAAGCAAUCCCAGGAUGCUUGUCUGUCAGUGCCACUUGUCGGCAGUUCCCUGGAGCUCCCUGUCCUGUGAUUGAUCUAGAAAUUGUGAUAACAAGUGAAUCAUAAAUGAGGCUCCAAGCCCGGACGAGCGAGUUUGAACGGCUGAGCCUGUAUCUGCUGCUUUCUCAGCUGGAUCUUUCUGGGAGGGAUAUGCUCUCCUUAAAAAUCCCCAACGAUGAGGAAUGAAUUGAGUCGUCUUAUGUUUCUAAAUGCUACCUCAUUGGCAAUUUUGUUAAUUUAAUGAAAGAAUCCAAGACUCCCCUCCACACUUGGAUAAUUAUUAUUUUUGUG
rnacentral:lncRNA from 1 species